rnacentral:rRNA from 1 species
UACAGAGGGGGCAAGCGUUGUUCGGAAUUACUGGGCGUAAAGGGCGCGUAGGCGGCCUUCUAAGUCAGACGUGAAAUCCCUCGGCUCAACCGGGGAACUGCGUCUGAGACUGGAAGGCUUGAAUCCGGGAGAGGGAUGUGGAAUUCCAGGUGUAGCGGUGAAAUUCGUAGAUAUUGGGAAGAACACCGGUGGCGAAGGCGGCGACCUGGUCCGAGACUGACGCUGAGGCGCGAAAGCGUGGGGAGCAAACAGG